rnacentral:antisense_RNA from 1 species
GGGAAAGCUGUCUGAGACAAUAUGAAAAUCAAUGAUGCCACUCUAGCAUUAGCUGAAGAUCCCCUUGAUUUUGUCCAGCAGCCAAGACACUAAGUGACCCAAAGGAAGAAAAGGGUGAUCAACGAGGCUGUGCGCCUACUCAGCGCGAAGACAACAAGGAUGAAACCCUUUAUGAUGAUCCACUUCCACUUAAUGAAUAGUAAAUAUAUUUUAUCUUCCUUUAUAAUUUUUUAAAUAAAUUUUUCUCUAGCUUAUUCUAACAAUACAGUGUAUAAUGC